rnacentral:rRNA from 1 species
GGAGCUAAGGUUCAAUGGCGGGCAGAGUACAACACCUUUGUUGUAUCCGGUGCGUCCUCGACAGUCCUUGAAAAACCGACGGAACAUAUUACUCUCUCGCCUGGUCGUACUCAUAACCGCAGCAGGUCUCCAAGGUGAACAGCCUCUGGCCAAUGGAACAAUGUAGGCAAGGGAAGUCGGCAAAACGGAUCCGUAACUUCGGGAAAAGGAUUGGCUCUGAGGACUGGGCUCGGGGGUCCCGGCCUCGAACCCGUCGGCUGUCGGCGGAUUGCUCGAGCUGCUCACGCGGCGAGAGCGGGUCGC